UACGUAGGGUGCGAGCGUUGUCCGGAAUUAUUGGGCGUAAAGAGCUCGUAGGCGGCUUGUCACGUCGGGUGUGAAAGCCCGGGGCUUAACCCCGGGUCUGCAUUCGAUACGGGCUAGCUAGAGUGUGGUAGGGGAGAUCGGAAUUCCUGGUGUAGCGGCGGAAUGCGCAGAUAUCAGGAGGAACACCGAUGGCGAAGGCAGAUCUCUGGGCCGUAACUGACGCUGAGGAGCGAAAGCGUGGGGAGCGAACAGG
rnacentral:rRNA from 1 species